ACAGAGUGAGACUCCGUCUCAAAAAAGAAAGAAAUAAAAGUACUGCAUAAUGUCAUUAAUAAUAAAUAAUACCUAUUGGUGUCCCUUACGACAGAGACUCGAGUAGUGGUGAGGUAGUGUUGUGUCAGUCUGGCUACUUUACUGAUGGUGUCCAUGUUUCUGAGUGUCAUCAGGGAGAUGGCAGCGACGAGGGAGAUGGCCCAUUUCCUGUUCCUGCUACAGUAGAGCAGGGGCUCUUUGGACAGUGUCUAUGCUGGCCCUCUGGGGAGGACAAGAUUUCCUGCUCAGCACCGUCUGGGUCUCAGAGAAAAAGGCUCAGCCACCAAGUGUGUCCUAGGCGGUGGGGAAGAUAAAGGUUUGGCAUCCUGGGUGGAAGAAACACCCAAAGGAAGAGAACGUUUUAGAUUCUGGAGCCUGGGCAGCACAAAUAAAGGCUCUGACUGGCUCUGGUUUGGGAAA